AACGAACGCUGGCGGCAUGCCUAACACAUGCAAGUCGAACGAGACCUUCGGGUCUAGUGGCGCACGGGUGCGUAACGCGUGGGAACCUGCCCUUAGGUUCGGAAUAACUCCCCGAAAGGGGUGCUAAUACCGGAUAAUGUCUUCGGACCAAAGAUUUAUCGCCUUUGGAUGGGCCCGCGUUGGAUUAGCUAGUUGGUAGGAUAAAAGCCUACCAAGGCGACGAUCCAUAGCUGGUCUGAGAGGAUGAUCAGCCACACUGGGACUGAGACACGGCCCAGACUCCUACGGGAGGCAGCAGUGGGGAAUAUUGGACAAUGGGCGAAAGCCUGAUCCAGCAAUGCCGCGUGAGUGAUGAAGGCCUUAGGGUUGUAAAGCUCUUUUACCCGGGAUGAUAAUGACAGUACCGGGAGAAUAAGCACCGGCUAACUCCGUG
rnacentral:rRNA from 1 species